CCUCACAGAAGCCGGCUAAUGGAGGCGGUGCAAUAAUCGCAGAAAGGAAAGGCUGAUGAAAGAUUUAGGGGGCGACCCAAAGGGAAAGGCAUGUGUGUGAAGGAGCAGUUGGCAGAGUGGGAUUUCAUCCCCUGUUCCCGCAUCUGUCUGUGGAGGAGCUGGUCAUCCAAGAAGAAGCAGCCUCGUUUGUUUCGGGUGUCAUCGUAGGUGUCCACCUUUGGCUUUGGGGGAACAGCCAGGUCUUGCUUACUCCUGCCUUGGGAAGUCCUUCCCAAUGUCUAACCAAGAUCUGUACCGCUGAAGUACCAGUUCUUUGACCCUCGGCUUGACAUGGCUAAUUUGAGAGGCACAGGGAGGAACUGACCUUGAUUUGGCACCUGCUUGCUUGUACCAAAAAGAAGAACCUACUUCACCCACUUGUCCUGGGUUCCCUCUGAGACGCUGUCUUGAUUGACUGAAAGAUGAGGCUAAACUCUAGCAAGUUGAGUGGCUCCUCCCAGAAUCCUUUAAGCAGGAUAGAAGUGGGGA
rnacentral:lncRNA from 1 species